GUAAAGUUUUAUUCUUGCUUUCUCGUUCAGUAUUUGCUUGUUCUAUAUGUAAGUUUGUGCGUGACUUUUCUUGUGAUUCUAGAUGGGUUUACGAGGGUUGUGUUUAUUUUUCUCAUUAGUUGUUAUUAGUUGUUCAAGUAUUCUUGUAUCUAGUAAUGCAUGAUUAGUUUCGGUUAAAUUUUGUGCCAGCAGCCGCGGUUAUACUUUGGAGGCGUUUGAGUGUGUUCAGUAUUGGGUAGUUGUAUUUUGUUUGGUUGAUUUUGUUUUGGUUAUUAUUAGGUGAAAUUUUUAUUGUUGUUAUUUAUCUCUUUUUUGUUUUGGAGGCUAUGAAAUUCUUUUUUUAAACUAGGAUUAGAUACCCUAUUAUUUUGGAAUGUUAAUUUUUUUUUUGCUUGAGUAGUAUUAGUUAUGUUCUUGAAACUUAAAGAAUUUGGCGGUAUCUCAUUCUUUCCAGAGGAAUCUGUCUCGUUAUCGAUAGUCCGCGUUGGACCUUACCUGGACUUUUGGUUUGUAUACCGCCGUUUGUUGAUUAUCUUUUUAGAGUUUUUAAUUUUCUAGUUCCUUUAUUUUGUUUAAUUUCAGGUCAAGGUGCAGCUUAUUUUUAGGUGAAUGAUGGAUUACAUUGUUAUUUGUUUUUGGAUUAUUGGUUUUAAUAUUGAUAUGAAAUUGGAUUUGGUUGUAAUUGUUUGUAGAUUGUUAUUGUGAUAAGUGGUUCUGGGAUAUGUACACAUCGCCCGUCGCUCUCGUUUUAUUGUUAAUGAGAUAAGUCGUAACAAAGUGGUUGUACCGGAAGGUGCGGCUGGAUUGA
rnacentral:ncRNA from 1 species